rnacentral:rRNA from 1 species
UACGGGGGGGGCUAGCGUUGUUCGGAAUUACUGGGCGUAAAGGGCGCGUAGGCGGCCUACUAAGUCGGACGUGAAAUCCCUCGGCUCAACCGGGGAACUGCGUCCGAUACUGGUGGGCUCGAAUCCGGGAGAGGGAUGUGGAAUUCCAGGUGUAGCGGUGAAAUGCGUAGAGAUGCGGAGGAACACCGAUGGCGAAGGCAGCCCCCUGGGCUAACACUGACGCUCAGGCACGAAAGCGUGGGGAGCAAACAGG